rnacentral:rRNA from 1 species
UUUGAAGAGAGAGUUCAAGAGUACGUGAAACUGUUCAGAGGGAAACGGGUGGGCCCUCGAAGCCCUGUGUCGGACGGAUUCAGCGAGUUACUUUCUGCGCUUGUUUUCUGGGCCUAGGCAUUAUGUCUGUCGCAGGCUAACCUGGAGAGCAUACCGCGGAGCCGACUCCCGCAUUUCCGUUCCGUCCAAAGGACGCCGUAACCGUUUGGAUCUCGGCCAUAUGAAUCUCGUCGAGAGUGGUUCUCCGUCGACGAACGUUGCUUCUUCGGUUGCAUGCGUCGGCGGGAAGUGGCUUUCGGAAAAUUUUUCGGAAGCUCGGGAUCCGAACGUGGUAUCGCUAAGCCCGAUUUUCCGGGCUGGCUUCGCCUCCUCCACACUUGCGAUUGCUCCGUAGAGGACACAGAUUCUUGCUCGAUGGAAGCACGGAGACGUCGCCGUGUCCCGUCGUUGCCGGAGCUGUCUUCCGGGUGCUUGAUCGUCGGAGGUUGGUGGUUCGCGGCGAGUAGGUC